UACAGAGGGUGCGAGCGUUAAUCGGAAUUACUGGGCGUAAAGCGCGCGUAGGCGGCUUUGCAAGUCGGGUGUGAAAUCCCCAGGCUUAACCUGGGAACUGCAUUCGAGACUGCAUUGCUAGAGUAUGGGAGAGGGAAGUGGAAUUUCCGGUGUAGCGGUGAAAUGCGCAGAUAUCAGGAGGAACACCGGUGGCGAAGGCGGGUCUCUGGGCCGUAACUGACGCUGAGGAGCGAAAGCGUGGGGAGCGAACAGG
rnacentral:rRNA from 1 species